UCAUCCCACACGUCUGGAUUUCUGUGAAUGGACCAUGCGUUUACAAGUACCAUGGCACCUGAUGGAAUAUCAUAGCCUCCGAGAGUGCAGCGCUCGGAUGCCACAUGUGGAACCAAGAGUGGAGCCGGUGGGCACAGUCUCAGGUUCUCAUGGAUGAUACAUUGAAUGUAAUGCAGAUUAGCGAAAUCUGGUUCAUCUGCCAAACGGCCAUGUCCAACUUGGGUGUCCACUUCGUCUACUGCUUUCUUUAAUGCACGUGGAUUAUUCAGCAGGUUGGAAAAUGCCCAUUCUAAAGACAGAGCAGAGGUUUUUGUCCCUGCAACCAACAUCAUCUGCAGAAAAUUGUGGAUAACCAACCAUGCAUCAGAAGAUUUGAAUCCAUAGGAAUACAUAUUUCUGAAGAACCAUGGGUCAAGGAAGGAGACCAUGAAUAUCAUCUUCAGAUAUGUAUUUUUAUUAUAUUUAAUUACGUAUUUAUCCCAAAUAAAAUAAAAUAAAAUAAAAAAGAACGGAAUUUAGGGCAGCAGAAUGAGAUUAGAGACUAACCAGAAUAAUGCCUUUGAUGAUUUCGUCGGUAUAGUAUUCAGGUUCCGAUUCCUGCAAAGCGAGCAGGUGGCUUACCAUGGUAUUCCUACUCUUAACAACUCUAUGCUCAUCAAUAAGUCCUUACCAGAAAGCGUCCAUCCUCUUGCCUAGCUGAGUCAUCCUGUUCUUAAAUCCAUCAUAAUCAACGCACUGCAAAAUGGGAAACAAAUCCCCCAGAUUUGUCACCCUAGUACAUUCAGAAAACUCGUGCAUCAUGUCCUUAAACCUCUUUGACUCUUCAAGCCCAUCAACUCUUCGCCAUAAUACUUCUUCCCUGCAACCAUUCUCAUCAUUACAUUAAAGUUAAGGUCCAGCAACAUUGUCCUCAGCUCUAUCACGGCCGAACCAUCACCACAAAUUUUGUGAAUUUUACGAAGUAAAUUCUUCACUUCUUCUCUUCGGAUGCUUGCGAACGUGUUGAGGCGGCUUGCUGAGAAGACUUGAAUAGCAGUAAGUCGGCGAAGGUUGCGCCAGUGAUCACCAUACGGAGCUGCGGCAAGGGUGGUAAACUUGUAAUUCAGGACCUUGCCAUUUAGAAAGGGGGGGCGGUUGGCCAAGGUAAUAUCGUUCUUGGUGAAACAUUCUUCUACGGCAGCUGGUGAUGUGUGGAUGGCCUUGGGCUUUUUGAGGAGAGGAAGAUGGCCUAAAAUUAGGCGACCUGGUGGGCUUGGAGGGAGCUUCAUGCGCUAUUAAGCUCAUAUCUCAAAUUCUAAAAAUUCAUAAGAGUUUAUUUUUAUUUUGUUAGAAAGCUGAGAAAAAUUUCCAGAACAUUCAUGAAGACUAUCUGUUUAAAAUCUGAUGCUAGCAAUGAUAUUUUUUUUUUUUCAGACAAGAAUAUUAUGGUUGUCAUCGAGUCAAGAGAUGACCACCCAUUCAAUAAUUAGUCAUCAAAUCAAUAGUUUUUAUUUUUAGCCUAUAAAAGGAGGUAUUUGCUAUAUAUUUAGACAUCUUGGUGUUCAGAUCAAGAUCACUCUCUCUCUCUCUCUUUGUAUUUUGUAAUCUUCAAUUUUUUAUUUUAUGUUAUAUUAAUCUCUUGUUUAUGCUAUUCAUUUGUUUUACUAUACUUAGUUAAUUUAUAUUAUGUUUAUGUUCUUAUAUUGUUUAUUUAUGUUUUUCUUCUUCAUGAUAUUUAGUUAAGUUAAUUUUGUCAAGGUGAAAAGGGUACCCUAAUGGUGUAAGAAUAAGUAUAAUAUAAACUCCACAUGGACUUUAAUGUUUGAUAUUAACAUGUUUUGUAUUUGUUAUCUUACUCAUUCUUAAUACCUUGGUUGUUAAAUGGUUAAUCUAGAUUUGUGUUGUACAAUUCUUAGUACAACAAAUACUUGGCACUUUCAUAGCAUACUAAUGUAUGGUAUAACCGACACUUGUUGAUUUGUUGUUAAUAUAAGUUAUCACUACGAAUACCUGGCCAAAUUUACAAGAUUGGCAUUACUCAAAUAAAAUAAUUAAUAUAAUCAUGUUAAUAAUUUAUAAUCCAAUUGUAACCUCCUUUGUGUGUAGUUUUCAGUUGAGUAAUAAAAAACUUUUAUACUAUACUUAUUUGAAAUACCAUUAGUCGAUCCUCUAACCUUGAUAAUUGUUUUAUUCUUGUUAAUCCUUACAUCAAUAUCACAUCUCACAAGUUCUCUUCAACUCCUUUUCAUUUAUUGUUUAUAAUUUUAUAUAGUUCACCUCCAUAUGCUUCGACCUUGGUCUUGUCGGGUUAUUUAUUACUUCAACACUCCUGUACUUGGGAUAAAACAUCAAUUUUUUUAUUCUCACCUUACCUCAACUAGAAAACAAAAUAAAAAUCUAAAAUUACAAAGAAAAGAGCAUGAAAUCCAUAAACAAAGGAAAUCACAAAAAUUUCCAAAACCAUGGGUUUGGGGCAAGAAUUUCAAAAUUUAAAGAUUCGAUGGUCGAAGUAGCUAUUCCAAUGAUACAUUAAGGAAAACAACUUUCAGAUACUCCUAUAAAAAUUUAAUUAUGAACCAACAAUCGAAUAAAAAAUUAUGGUCCUUUUAAGCUGUUAUUCUGGUCCGGCGCAACUAGACUCCUCUUGGACCUAAACUUGUCUCACUGGUCCAUAAAUGUAUCUCAUAGGCAUUCACGUAAUCUAUCUAGCUAGAGCAAAUACUCAUCUAGUUAUGGCAAACUCAUAAUUAACUAUUAAGAAUCACUCGUUAUCGCAAAUUGAACUUCAUUAAAUAUGGUAAGUCUGAUGUCGUUUUUUCUUCAAAUAUCAUAAUUAAUCGUUUACUUGAAUAUUUGAAACUAGUAUAUAUUUUAAAAUUCUUAGUUUUUUUUAAUUACUAGGUUGUAAUUCAAUUUUUCACAUCUUUUCUCUUUAAUUUCUAAAGAAAUUGAUCAAACUUUAUAAAAAAGAUUUAAUAUUUACAUAGCCCGUUUCUCUUUCCUUUUCUACCAAAGUGGAAGACAGCUAUUGCUAAACUAGAAAAGUAAGCAACCAGAAGAAAGGAACCAAUCAUGGUGGGACAAUGGACAAUGACGAAACCAAGUCGGAGCGAUAAGGUUUUGGAAGCAAAUCAACGGCUGCAAAUCGCGAAUGAAAUCAGAGCUCAGCUCCACUCAUAGGUCCCAUAACGACCCGCUAAGCACUGCAGAAGUGAAUCACCAACCACAACUCUGUCUAACAUAGAAAGAAACAAUAAUCCUGAGCUCGACAAGUGUCAAUCCCUCAAUCUCAAUCUCAAUCUCAAUUGUCAAGUGGGCAAAUAGUCUUUUGCCUCAGAAGUAACCCUGCAACAAACGACUGGCUUCCCAGCACUGAAGACAACCGGGUAUUUUAGCAUGAUUAUUGAGCAUGUCAAUAUAUUUAGCUAGCUAGGUUGGAUUUUUUCUUUUCAAAUUUUAUGCGUUGGUGGAAUAUGCUCUAUUUUUUUUUAGGUGUUUGUUUCAUCCAAGCUAAAUCGGAGUGAGAGCUAAUAGAUGUGCAGUGAAGAGAGAGAGAGAGAGGAGAACAGGGACAACUUUGAAUGGUUUCUGACAUUCUUGUUUAUAAAAUAUUGGAUGGUAAUGUGGUUAAAUAUUUUUUUUUAAUGUUUUUUAAUUGAUAUUUUUUAAAAAAUAUAUAGUUUUUAAUAUGAUAAUAUCAAAAAUUAAAAAUUAAUUUAAUACAUUUUAAAUAAAAAAACAUUCUUCACGUUACAAAACACAUUAGACGAAUUGACAACACGAGAGCUACUUCAUUGGAAUUAUUCUACCACUAUCUAAACUUUUAUUGGUGCUGUCCCUUUUAAUGUACUAAUAGCAGGGGAACCACAAAUUCCAGCAUUAUUAAAUUUCAGCUUUUCCCAUAUUCAAAUGCCAUGGGUGCUUGAAGUAGAAGAUGUUGGACAAAACAAAUCAUAUAUUUAUAUAUCAGAAACGUAUUGUGUAGUUCAGAAUCUGCUUUCUGUGGUUCAAUUUUUUCUAAUCACAUAAUAGUAGUUCUCAUAUGAUCUCAUAUCUAAUUGAUUUUUAGUGAAGAACUAGACAUGUACCUAAUAUGUUGGGUUCGAGCUAUUUUUUUCAUAAAAUAUUUAGGUGUUACAAGCUUGUUUUAAAAAAAUAAGAAAAAUCCAAUGAUCAGAGUUAAAUAUAAUCUCAACUAACUAAAUAAACUGGUUUUAUUUUAAAUAUAAAAAAAAACAACAAUAGCAAAAGGAUAAAAGAUUAGAAAAAAAAAAACAAUCGCGAUAACCUAGAAAAAAAAACUUUUAUUCAAUAGUAAAAAAACAAUAUUGUUUAAUUUUCUGCAAAUCAAAUAUAAAAGGAAAAAAUAAGGUAAAAGAGGGAUAAAAAAAACUGAUGUGAGUCAACCCGAACUAACAUCAUAGAUAUGUAAUUUGGCCAUUAAGAAGCAAAUCAAUCCAGGUUAACCAUCUGAACUCAUGUACAAGGUCAUGAAGUUUGGAUAAAUCGAUAGAAAACAAUUUUGAAGAAAACCACAAAGUUAUUUUUUAUGUAAAAAAACCUAAUGUCAAAACGAUGAAAUUAUAAAAGAAAUUAAGCUAAUAAAAAAUAUCAACCCUAUUAACUUUUCAAACCCGUGACUUGGAUCAUCAAACCAGAAACAUCAUAUAUCGAAAAAAGAAAAAACCACGAAGCCUAAUCCUCAAAAAUUAAAAUGUUGAAGGAUGAAAUUGAAAAAAAAAAUCACACAAAAGAUUAAAAAUAAAAAAUAACAAUUAAAAAAACGAGGUUAAAAUUGAAAUAAAAAAUAAAUUAGAGGGCAACAACAAAUCUUCAAUUUGGAGGUUAAAUUAAAAAAAAACUUUAACAAAAUAAAAAAAAGAAAAGAAUUAAAAAAAGGAUCAAAUUGUAAAAAAUAAUAUGCCAUAAUUUUAGAUUGAAUGAUGAAAUUGAAAACCAAUAAAAGUUCUAUAAGGAUCAAAUUGAAAAAAAAAAUAUAUGAUAAAUUGAGAUUGAUGGAUGAAAUUGAAAACAAAUUAGACUUUUAUAUAAGGGCCAAGAAAAAAAAAACUAGAAAUAAAAAAAAUAAGGACUAAAGAUGAAAUAGUUGAAAAAAAAGGACCAACUUGUAAUUUUUUUGGGAGGAGAGAGAGAAAAAAACUCUUAUCGGCGAUAAACCACUCCAUAUAUGCCAACAUGCGUCGUAUCAUAAGAAAGAGGACAUGAUAGAGCAUCUAUUGACAUUACUAAAGAGCAACUUCAGUCGUUAAAAGGGGUCGUACAUGCUGUUCAGAGUGUGUGGGCAUCUCUCACGCAUUGACAAGUGCACCACUCGUGCUAGUAGCUUUUAACAUAACAAGUAAUAAUUUAUCAAACCAAAAAGGAAAAAGUGCCCUCGAUGAUCCUAAAAUUAACAAAAAAAAUCUAUGUAAAAGACUAAAAGGCUCAUUUAUACAUAGCUUUAUUAUUUUAUUUUUAUUUCGGUGUACAGUUGUCAUUUUAAUAUUUUUUAAAAUAGAAAAACUAAAAUACCCUCUUAGUUAAUAUUAAUUUUUCUCACUUGGAGGACAAUUAGCUCAUUUUACUAUAUAUAGAAAACACUACCAGAAACUCGCUAAAUACCAACGGAAUCCCCGACGGAAUAUUUCUGUCUAUAUUUUUCGGUCGAAAUUACCGACGGAAUAUUUCCGUUCGUAAUUCGGUCGGUAAUUCUUAGUUUUUUUUAAUUACUAGGUUGUAAUUCAAUUUUUCACAUCUUUUCUCUUUAAUUUCUAAAGAAAUUGAUCAAACUUUAUAAAAAAGAUUUGAUAUUUACAUAGCUCGUUUCUCUUUCCUUUUCUACCAAAGUGGAAGACAGCUAUUGCUAAACUAGAAAAGUAAGCAACCAGAAGAAAGGAACCAAUCAUGGUGGGACAAUGGACUAUGACUAAACCAAGUCGGAGCAAAUCAACAGCUGCAAAUCGCGAAUCAAAUCAGAGCUCAGCUCGACUCUAUGGUCCCAUAACGACUCGGUAAGCACUGCAAAAGUGAAUCUCAAUCUGAAUUGUCAAGUGGGCAAAUAGUCUUUUGCCUCAGAAGUAACCCUGCAACAAACGACUGGCCUCCCAGCACUGAAGACAACCGGGUAUUUUAGCAUGAUUACUAUUAUUAAUCAUGUCAAUAUAUUUAGCUAGCUAGGUUGGAUUUUUUCUUUUCAAAUUUUAUGCGUUGGUGGAAUAUGCUCUAUUUUUCUUAGGUGUUUGUUUCAUCCAAGCCAAAUCGGAGUGAGAGCUAAUAGAUGUGCAGUGAAGAUUGAGAGAGAGAGGAGAACACUGGAUGGUUUCUGACUUUCUUGUUUAUAAAAUAUUGCAUGGUAAUGUGGUUAAAUAUUUUUUUAAAAUAUUUUUUUAAUUGAUAUUUAAAAAAAAUUAUAGUUUUUAAUAUGAUAAUAUCAAAAAUUUUAAAAAUAAAACAUGAAUUUAAUACAUUUUAAAUGAAAAACAUUCUUCACGUUACAAAACACAUUAGACAAAUUGACAACACGAGAGCUACUUCAUUGGAAUUAUUCUACAACUAUCUAAAUUUUUAUUGGUGCUGUCUCUUAAUAGCAGGGGAACCAUAAAUUCCAGCAUUAUUAAAUUUCAGCUUUUCCCAUAUUCAAAUGCCAUGGGUGCUUGAAGUAGAAAAUGUUGGACAAAACAAAUUAUAUAUUUAUAUAUCAGAAACGUAUUGUGUAGUUCAGAAUCUGCUUUCUGUGGUUCAAAUUUUUCUAAUAACUUAAUAGUAGUUCUCAUAUGAUCUCGUGAUUUAUUAUAUCUAAUUGAUUUUUAGUGAAGAACUAGACAUGUACCUUUUUUUUUUUUUUGAUAACCGGGGUGUCCGGGCUAGCUUGCGCGUACCACAACUAGUCCCCGGACCCACUGGGCAUCCUGCAAGCCCAGUGAACAUGUAAGGCACCGCGGGGGUGACAGGCGUACACAUAGAGGGUCGAACCCGGGAUGGGGGCGGAACAAGUCACACGGUUGACCACAGCAGUUGGACCCUCAAGUGUGAACUAGACAUGUACCUUAGUAUGUUGGGUUUGCGCUAUUUUUUUUCAUAAAAUAUUUAGGUGACACAAGCUUGUUUUAAAAAAAUAAAAAAAAUUCAAUGACCAGAGUUAUAGUCUCAACUAACUAAAUAAACUGGUUUUAUUUUGAAUAAAAAAAAAACAAUCACGAUAAUCUAGAAAAUAAAACUUUUAUUCAAUAGCAGAAAAAAAAAAAAAAAAAUUAGAGGGCAACAACAAAUCUUCAAUUUGGAGGUUAAAUUAUAUAAAAAAAAACUUUAACAAAAUGAAAAAAAAUUAAAAAAAAGGAUCAAAUUGUAAAAAUAAUAUGCCAUAAUUUUAGAUUGAAUAAUGAAAUUGAAAACCAAUAAAAGUUCUAUAAGUAUCAAAUUGAAAAAAAUAUGAUAAUUGGGAUUGAAGGAUGAAAUUGAAAACGAAUUAGACUUUUAUAUAAGGGCUAAGAAAAAAAACUAGAAAUCAAAAGAAUAAGGACUAAAGAUGAAAUAGUUAAAAAAAAGAACCAUUUUGUAAUUUUUUAGGGAGGAGAGAGAAACCAAACGCUUAUUGGCGACAAACCACUCCAUCUAUACCAACAUGCGUCGUACCAUAAGAAAAAGGACACGAUAUUAACAUUACUAAAGAGCAACUUCAGCCACUAGAAAGGGUCGUACACGCCGUUCAAAGUGUGUGGGCAUCUCUAACGCAUUAACGAGUGCACCACUCGUGCUAGUAGCUUUUAACAUUAAAAAAAUAAUUUAUCAAAUCAAAAGGGAAAAAAGCCCUCGAUGAUCCUAAAAUUAACAAAAAAAUCUAUGUGAAAGACUAAAAGGCUCAUUUAUACAUAGUUUUUUUUUCCCGGUGUAAAGUUGUCGUUUUAAUGUUUUUUAAAAUAGAAAAACUAAAAUACCCUCUUAGUUAGUUUUAAAUUUUCUCACUUGGAGGACAAUUAGCUCAUUUUACUAUAUCUAGAAAAGUUCAAGAGAUGGAUAUACCCAUGUAAAAAGUUUUAAUGACUAAUGUGUCAUGUAAAAAGAUUAAAAUACCCUCAAGAAUAUACAUCACUGAAAAUGCAUUAAAAUAUAUUUUGGAGAUUAAAAAAAAAUCCUAGAACAAAAAUGAAAAAAGAUUGAAAAGAAUUGAAUUUUGAGCCAGACCAAGACCUCGAGCGAGUGGACAUAACACGCCUAGGUCAGGGAGCUGGGCCCUUAUGUUUCUAACUUUAACUUUUUUAUUGAAAAAAAAAACUCAUAAAACAAAACAAACAAAACAAAUAAAAAAAAAUAAAUAAAGAUAGAUGCUUAAUUCUGGAUAAACAACACAGUGUAUAUUCCAACAAAUCCAACGAUGGCUAGUAAUUUAUGAAACUUCUAGAAAUGUAAGUGCGCUGCAGUUUAUCAGUCUCAAUUAUACAAAAAAUACUCAUAACAAAAUUAGCUGAGGCAAUCUGUCUCCCACAUGCUGAAGUAACUAUUUUAUAAUGUGGUUAUGAUUAUUUUUUAAAAUAUUAUUUUAUUUAAAAAUAUAUUAAUUUUUUUAAAAUUAUUUUUAAUAUUAACACAUCAAAAUGAUAUGAAAACACUAAAAAAAAAUAUUAAUUUACAGCAAUUUUUUUUUCCAAAAUUCAAAAAUGUUUUAAACAUAAAAACAAAUAGAAACUCAAUCUUGAUAUCUUUAUGUGUGUGUGUGUGUAAAUCACAACUAAGAUGCAAUCCACUGCUUUAUAUUACUUGAUUAUAAAAAUCUAAUGAUAAAAAGGGUUUUGCCAUUAUGUUGAUAUUUUGUGUGUGUGUGUGUGUAAUUUUUUUUUCUAGGUGCAAAUUUAUUUUAGGGUUUUGUGCAAUAUCUUGUAUGGAUAUAAUAUAAUAAUGUGGGCAAGGUCAACAUGACCUUUCAUAGAUCCAUCAAAUGUAAGUGGAGGCCUAUGAAUAUAUUUUGAAUGUAUUAAAAUUUUAUCAGUGUUUCUGUUUGUAUUUAUCAAUUUUUUUGUAUGUCAAAUUAAAUCAAAGUUUAAUGGAUAAAAUAAAAAAAAUAUUAAAAAAUAUAACAAUUAAAAUAUUGAAAAUCAAAAUUGAUAUAAUUAACAAAUAACAAGAUAUUUUUUAUUUUUUCACAACUCUUUAAAAAGUGUUUUGUGCUCAAAAUAUAUAAAGAAAAACACUUUCAUGGAAAUCAAGUAAAAUAAAAAUUUGUACUCCGAAAUAUUUUUCAUUAACCAAUUUUUUCCAAUAAUAAACAAAUAUAGAAAAAUUUAGAAAGUAGUUUUCAAAAAAUUAUUUUCUAUAAAACAAACGAGUCAUGCAAUAUCUAUUUUUUAAGAAUUAUUUUAAAUAAAUUUUACUAAAAAUAUUUCUAAUGUAAAGUCACUUUAAUUUAUUUUUGUCGGAUAUGAUUUAUAAAUAAUAACAUAAAUCACAUGAAACGCUCGAAGAUAUAAUUAACUCUUAAUUAUAAAUUUUUACUCAUAAAAAAAUCAUAAACAUGUUUAUUAACAAUAAUUUUUUAUAUAAAUAAAUAACUUGUUAUAAAUUGAGUAAAAGUUUUCACUAAUAAAUUCUUCUUGAAAUAAUGUUUUCAAAAAUUGAUUUGAAUAUUUUAACCAAAUAUAUUUCUAAGUUAAAGUCAUGUCAACUUACUUUUAUCAUAAUAAGUUAUUAUGAACAAUAUUUUUUGAAUGAUAAAUUAAAGUAACAAAUCACAUUAAUUAAUUAGCAAUAUCAAAUAGUCUCUAAUUGAUUAAAGCUCUAGUUUUUGUUUUGUUUUUUGUUUUUUUUUUUCCUUUAUCUGGCGACUGAGCCUAAUUAUGAUCAAACAUAGCUUCGAAGUCCACCUUAAUUAAAUUGAGAAAUUAUUUUAAUUAAAAAAUACCCUCACAAAAACACCCCACUUGCGAGAAACCCACUUAAAUUUCAAUAACUGUAUUGUAUACAGUCAAGAUGUUUUUCUUGAUUUUGCUACACCAACUCUCAAAGGUUGGAAUUGGAUAUAGUAGUACAUCAUUUGAAAUUGGAAUUUUCUAGGAAUUAUAAAAUACAGAAAGUAUAUAUAUUAAGGAGCACGAAUUAAUAACACAAUAAUUAUUGUCCUUGCACUGUUAUUUAUUUCCUCAAUGGAAUCACUAAAAUAAGACGAUGAAAAGGGUUUUGCAUUCUUUCUACCUCGAAGGGCGGACAGCUUAAGCGAGGAGGUUGUGGGUGUUUGGGCGAGCUUUACACACGAGAUGCAAUGGGGUAAUCUUCAACAUGAGUGUUGCAGCCGUUUCUGUCAUAUCGACUUCCUCUCCAUCAACAGUGGAGAACUCAAAACAUUGAAGCAAUUGGCUCAUAACCAAGUUUAUCACUCUGAAUGCCAUGGCUUCUCCAGGACAACCUCUCCUUCCCAACCCAAAUGGCAGUAGCCUGUAUGGUUCACCUUUCCCAUUUUCAAAUCUUUCAGGCUUAAAACUUAAAGGAUCAUCCCACACGUCUGGAUUUCUGUGAAUGGACCAUGCGUUUACAAGUACCAUGGCACCUGAUGGAAUAUCAUAGCCUCCGAGAGUGCAGCGCUCGGAUGCCACAUGUGGAACCAAGAGGGAGCCGGUGGGCACAGUCUCAGGUUCUCAUGGAUGAUACAUUGAAUGUAAUGUAGAUUAGCGAAAUCUGGUUCAUCUGCCAAACGGCCAUGUCCAACUUGGGUGUCCACUUCGUCUACUGCUUUCUUUAAUGCACGUGGAUUAUUCAGCAGGUUGGAAAAUGCCCAUUCUAAAGACAAAGCAGAGGUUUUUGUCCCUGCAACCAACAUCAUCUGCAGAAAGUUGUGGAUAACCAACCAUAUAUCAGAAGAUUUGAAUCCACAGGAAUACAUAUUUCUGAAGAACCAUGGGUCAAGGAAGGAGGCUAUGAAUAUCAUCUUCAGAUAGGUAUUUUUAUUAUAUUGAAUUACGUAUUUAUCCCAAAUAAAAUAAAACAAAAAAGAAUGGAAUCUAGGGCAGCAGAAUGAGAUUUGAGACUAACCAGAAUAAUGCCUUUGAUGAUUUCGUCGGUAUAGUAUUCAGGUUCCGAUUCCUGCAAAGCGAGCAGGUGGCUUACCAUGGUAUUCCUACUCUUAUCAACUCUAUGCUCAUCAAUAAGUCCUUGCCAGAAAGCGUCCAUCCUCUUGCCUAGCUGAGUCAUCCUGUUCUUAAAUCCAUCAUA
rnacentral:lncRNA from 1 species